AUUGAACGCUGGCGGCAGGCCUAACACAUGCAAGUCGAACGAGUGGCGGACGGGUGAGUAAUGUCUGGGAACCUGCCUGCUGGAGGGGGAUAACUACUGGAAACGGUAGCUAAUACCGCAUACCAUCCGAUUUGCCCAGAUGGGAUUAGAUGGUUGGUGGGGUAACUGCUCACCAGGGCGACGAUCCCUAGCUGUUCUGAGAGGAUGAACAGCAAGACUGGAACUGAGACACGGUCCAGAAUCCGACGGGAGGCAGCAGUGGGGAAUAUUGUAAAAUGGGCGCAAGCCUGAUGCAGACAUGCCGCGUGUAUUAAGAAGGCCUUCGGGUUGUAAAGUACUUUCAGCGGGGAGGCGUUACCCGAAGAAGAAGCACCGGCUAACUCCGUGCCAGCAGCCGCGGUAAUAC
rnacentral:rRNA from 1 species